rnacentral:rRNA from 1 species
CCCUAGCUCUGGGACAACUCCGGGAAACCGGGGUUAAUACCGGAUACGACCUCGGAAGGCAUUUUCUGAGGUGGAAAGUUUUUCGGCUAGGGAUGGGCCCGCGGCCUAUCAGCUUGUUGGUGAGGUAAUGGCCCACCAAGGCGACGACGGGUAGCCGGCCUGAGAGGGCGACCGGCCACACUGGGACUGAGACACGGCCCAGACUCCUACGGGAGGCAGCAGUGGGGAAUAUUGCGCAAUGGGCGAAAGCCUGACGCAGCGACGCCGCGUGAGGGAUGAAGGCCUUCGGGUUGUAAACCUCUUUCAGCAGGGACGAAAACAGACGGUACCUGCA